GGGGCUGUAGCUCAGCUGGGAGAGCGCAUCGUUCGCAAUGAUGAGGUCAGGGGUUCGAUCCCCCUCGGCUCCACCA
rnacentral:tRNA from 1 species